CCCGUUCCCAUUUCGAACACGGAAGUUAAGCUCCCCAGCGCCGAUGGUACUGCCUGGGCAACUGGGUGGGAGAGUAGGUCGUCGCCGG
rnacentral:rRNA from 1 species